rnacentral:rRNA from 1 species
AAUCAACGCUGGCGGCGUGCCUAACACAUGCAAGUCGGACGUGAAAGGGGUUUCGGCCCUGAGUAGCGUGGCGGACGGGUGAGGAACGCGUGGGUGACCUGCCCUGCAGGGGGGGAUAACCCUCCGAAAGGGGGGCUAAUACCGCAUGAGCCCGAGAGGGGAAAGACGGUGAGUCGCUGCGGGAGGGGCCUGCGUCCGAUUAGCUGGUUGGUGGGGUAAGAGCCCACCAAGGCGACGAUUGGUAGCCGACUUGAGAGAGUGAUCGGCCACACUGGAACUGAGACACGGUCCAGACUCCUACGGGAGGCAGCAGUGGGGAAUAUUGGGCAAUGGAGGAAACUCUUACCCAGCAAUGCCGCGUGAGUGAAGAAGGUCUUCGGAUUGUAAAGCUCUUUGAUUGGGGACGAAUUAAUGACGGUACCCAAGGAACAAGCCCCGGCUAACUAUGUG